rnacentral:rRNA from 1 species
CCCAGUUCGGAUUGAAGGCUGAAAUUCGCCUUCAUGAAGCCGGAAUUGCUAGUAAUGGCAGGUCAGCAUACUGCCGUGAAUACGUUCCCGGGGCCUUGUACACACCGCCCGUCACACCAUGAGAGUUGGGAAUACCCGAAGCCUGUGAGCUAACUUUAAGAGGCAGCAGUCGAAGGUAGAAUCAAUGAUUGGGGUGAAGUCGUAACAAGGUAUC